UUACUUAACGGUACUUGGGCAGA
rnacentral:piRNA from 1 species